rnacentral:rRNA from 1 species
UACGUAGGGAGCAAGCGUUGUCCGGAAUCAUUGGGCGUAAAGCGCGCGUAGGUGGCCCCAUAAGUCCGCUGUGAAAGUCAAAGGCUCAACCUUUGAAAGCCGGUGGAUACUGUGGGACUAGAGUACGGAAGAGGCGAGUGGAAUUCCUGGUGUAGCGGUGGAAUGCGCAGAUAUCAGGAGGAACACCAAUGGCGAAGGCAGCACUCUGGGACGUGACUGACGCUGAGACGCGAAAGCGUGGGGAGCAAACAGG